rnacentral:lncRNA from 1 species
UUGGGAAGAUUUUCAGUUCAGAUACGCCUCGUGACAAAAACUCAGUGCUGGGGAGCUUCCUCGGCACCUGGGACAUCAUCCUAAGGUAGCACACCCUUGACCUCUCCUGGUGACACUGUGUCCUGGGCCACACAGCCUUGAUUGCCAGAGAAAUACGGAGGAGCAGGAGUCUUGGAUGGAGAGAGAGCUUGACCCACUGUCCACUACUUCAAGAAACGGGCAUAAGGUGGCAGCACUGGCAGUCCCUGCAUGUGCCUGAGGAAGCUUGGCCAAGGGCCAGGAUAAGUCGGGGAACCCUUGAGAGGAAGAGUUUGGGAAACCCAGCUUUAGAGUGAGCAACUACUCAGUAGGCCCUGGCUGGCCUCCUGCUGUGUAGAAGAAGCAGUACUGACACUUGGAAGGAUGUCACAAGUGUCACAAGCACAGGGCUGGCCAGAGUGACAUCAC